rnacentral:misc_RNA from 1 species
GAUGAAGAACGUAGCGAAAUGCGAUAAGUAAUGUGAAUUGCAGAAUUCAGUGAAUCAUCGAAUCUUUGAACGCACAUUGCGCCCGCCAGUAUUCUGGCGGGCAUGCCUGUUCGAGCGUCAUUUCAACCAUCAAGCCCCCGGCUUGUGUUGGGGACCUGCGGCUGCCGCAGGCCCUGAAAACCAGUGGCGGGCUCGCUGUCACACCGAGCGUAGUAGAUUUUCAUCUCGCUCAGGGCGUGCUGCGGGUUCCGGCCGUAAAAAGCCUUAUUUACCCAAGGUUGACCUCGGAUCAGGUAGGAAGACCCGCUGAACUUAAGCAUAUCAAUAAGCGGGGA